rnacentral:miRNA from 1 species
UAAAUGCAUUUAUCUGGCCAAG